UACAGAGACUGCAAGCGUUAUUCGGAUUCACUGGGCGUAAAGGGUGCGCAGGCGGCCAGGUGUGUGAGGUGUGAAAUCCCGGAGCUUAACUCCGGAACUGCGCCUCAAACUACUUGGCUAGAGCAUUGGAGAGGGAAGUGGAAUUCACGGUGUAGCAGUGAAAUGCGUAGAUAUCGUGAGGAACACCAGAGGCGAAGGCGACUUCCUGGACAAUUGCUGACGCUCAGGCACGGAAAGCGUGGGGAGCAAACAGG
rnacentral:rRNA from 1 species